CCGGCGCACGGGUGAGUAACACGUAUGGAACCUGCCCUAUGCAGGGGGAUAAGCGGAAGAGAUUCCGUCUAAUACCGCAUAACACCUUUAGGAGACAUCUUCUUGGGGUCAAAGGAGGCGACUCCGGCAUAGGAUGGCCAUGCGUCGCAUUAGCUAGUCGGCGGGGUAACGGCCCACCGAGGCGACGAUGCGUAGGGGUUCUGAGAGGAAGGUCCCCCACACUGGUACUGAGACACGGACCAGACUCCUACGGGAGGCAGCAG
rnacentral:rRNA from 1 species